CCAUUUAUUUUAUUUUAUUUUAUUUUGCAUUGUACAAUUAGCUACAAUUAUCUACACACCCAUUCGCUUGCAAAUAACGAGACCAAGGGGAUUGACAACCCUCUUGCCCGCGUUGGGUGCAAGUUGUUUGUUCUUUUGUGUGCAGCUGCUGAAGACGGUUGUGGAUUGAUAUUCCUAUUGGCUUGAUAAACCUAGGUUUUAUAACUGAGGGAAAUACUUACCUGGUUUGUGUUGCGAUUACCCGUUCCUCUUCAUGAAAAACCCAACGCAGAUCACGAGUAUAAGACAUUAACGUCAUCGCCCGAAUUAUCAUCAUUAUACACAACCAUAUGCACUCAGGGACAAUCGGAUGUAGAUCUAUGAACCUCUUUACUCCUAUUCUCCUGAGCUAAACCUUUUUGUGAUACUUGGUUAAUGCUCAAAAACUCAUAACUUUCCAGCCUCUCUUUGAUAUGUGAUUUCAAACCAUUAAGCACAAGAUCCGCCAAGUCUCUCUCACUUAUCACUAAACUAUAACAUCGAUUUUUUGUAUCUCGAAAUCUCUUGACAUAAUCGGUGACCGAUUCAUCAUGUUUCUGCCUAACCGAUAUAAGAUGUGAUAAUUUUAUAUCAUUAACGCUGCUAUAAAAGUGAUCAUGAAACUUCUGCUCUAAUUGCAAUCUUAAGAGAAUAG
rnacentral:lncRNA from 1 species